rnacentral:rRNA from 1 species
UUCAUGGCUCAGGACGAACGCUGGCGGCGUGCUUAACACAUGCAAGUCGAGCGGUAAGGCUCCUUCGGGAGUACACGAGCGGCGAACGGGUGAGUAACACGUGAGCAACCUACCCCUUUCAUCGGAAUAACCAGUGGAAACGCUGGCUAAUGCCGAAUACGACCACCGAAGGCAUCUUCUGGUGGUGGAAAGCUCCGGCGGAGAGGGAUGGGCUCGCGGCCUAUCAGCUAGUUGGUGAGGUAAUGGCUCACCAAGGCAACGACGGGUAGCCGGCCUGAGAGGGUGACCGGCCACACUGGGACUGAGACACGGCCCAGACUCCUACGGGAGGCAGCAGUGGGGAAUAUUGGACAAUGGGCGAAAGCCUGAUCCAGCAACGCCGCGUGAGGGAUGACGGCCUUCGGGUUGUAAACCUCUUUCAGUAGGGACGAAGCGAAAGUGACGGUACCUACAGAAGAAGGACCGGCCAACUACGUGCCAGCAGCCGCGGUAAUACGUAGGGUCCGAGCGUUGUCCGGAAUUAUUGGGCGUAAAGGGCUCGUAGGCGGUUUGUCGCGUCGGGAGUGAAAACUCAGGGCUCAACCCUGAGCGUGCUUCCGAUACGGGCAAACUUGAGGUAUGCAGGGGAGAAUGGAAUUCCUGGUGUAGCGGUGGAAUGCGCAGAUAUCAGGAGGAACACCGGUGGCGAAGGCGGUUCUCUGGGCAUUACCUGACGCUGAGGAGCGAAAGCAUGGGGAGCGAACAGGAUUAGAUACCCUGGUAGUCCAUGCCGUAAACGUUGGGCGCUAGGUGUGGGGACCUUCCACGGUCUCCGUGCCGCAGCUAACGCA